rnacentral:rRNA from 1 species
UACGGGAGGCAGCAGUGGGGAAUAUUGCACAAUGGGCGCAAGCCUGAUGCAGCGACGCCGCGUGGGGGAUGAAGGCCUUCGGGUUGUAAACUCCUUUCGCUAGGGACGAAGCAUUUUUGUGACGGUACCUGGAGAAGAAGCACCGGCUAACUACGUGCCAGCAGCCGCGGUAAUACGUAGGGUGCGAGCGUUGUCCGGAAUUACUGGGCGUAAAGAGCUCGUAGGCGGCUGGUCGCGUCUGUCGUGAAAUCCUCUGGCUUAACUGGGGGCUUGCGGUGGGUACGGGCCGGCUUGAGUGC